rnacentral:rRNA from 1 species
UACGUAGGGUGCGAGCGUUGUCCGGAAUUAUUGGGCGUAAAGGGCUCGUAGGCGGUUUGUCACGUCGGGAGUGAAAACUCGGGGGCUCAACCCCGAGCCUGCUUCCGAUGACGGGCAGACUAGAGGUAUGCAGGGGAGAAUGGAAUUCCUGGUGUAGCGGUGAAAUGCGCAGAUAUCAGGAGGAACACCGGUGGCGAAGGCGGUUCUCUGGGCAUUACCUGACGCUGAGGAGCGAAAGUGUGGGGAGCGAACAGG